CAGCCGCCACGGUAAUACGGAGGGUGCAAGCGUUAAUCGGAAUUACUGGGCGUAAAGCGCACGCAGGCGGUCUGUCAAGUCGGAUGUGAAAUCCCCGGGCUCAACCUGGGAACUGCAUUCGAAACUGGCAGGCUAGAGUCUUGUAGAGGGGGGUAGAAUUCCAGGUGUAGCGGUGAAAUGCGUAGAGAUCUGGAGGAAUACCGGUGGCGAAGGCGGCCCCCUGGACAAAGACUGACGCUCAGGUGCGAAAGCGUGGGGAGCAAACAGGAUUAGAUACCCCAGUAGUCCCUGUCUCUUAUAC
rnacentral:rRNA from 1 species